GAUGAACGCUGACAGAAUGCUUAACACAUGCCAGUCAACUUGAAUUUGGGUUUUUAACUUAGGUUUGGGUGGCGGACGGGUGAGUAACGCGUAAAGAACUUGCCUCACAGCUAGGGACAACAUUUGGAAACGAAUGCUAAUACCUAAUAUUAUGAUAAUAGGGCAUCCUAUAAUUAUGAAAGCUAUAAGCGCUGUGAGAGAGCUUUGCGUCCCAUUAGCUAGUUGGAGAGGUAACGGCUCACCAAGGCGAUGAUGGGUAGCCGGCCUGAGAGGGUGAUCGGCCACAAGGGGACUGAGACACGGCCCUUACUCCUACGGGAGGCAGCAGUGGGGAAUAUUGGACAAUGGACCGAGAGUCUGAUCCAGCAAUUCUGUGUGCACGAUGAAGUUUUUCGGAAUGUAAAGUGAUUUCAGUUGGGAAGAAACAAAUGACGGUACCAACAGAAGAAGUGACGGCUAAAUACGUG
rnacentral:rRNA from 1 species